UACAGAGGUCUCAAGCGUUGUUCGGAUUCAUUGGGCGUAAAGGGUGCGUAGGCGGCGCGGUAAGUCGGGUGUGAAAUCUUGGAGCUUAACUCCGAAACUGCAUUCGAUACUGCCGUGCUUGAGGACUGGAGAGGAGACUGGAAUUUACGGUGUAGCAGUGAAAUGCGUAGAGAUCGUAAGGAAGACCGGUGGCGAAGGCGGGUCUCUGGACAGUUCCUGACACUGAGGCACGAAGGCCAGGGGAGCAAACGGG
rnacentral:rRNA from 1 species